CGAGCCCUGGACAAAAUUGGUCCCAGAAGCAGCCCCGGUGCUCGGCCCCCGUGGCCAGUGCCCAACCCCUCUGCCAGGAAGGAGGCACCAGAGUUCCAAACCACACACCUGCAUCAGUCCACCCAGCACACAGGUCGCCCAGCAGCCACCAUCCCACCAGCAGGCUCAUCCCGGGACCCCAGUGCUGGGAAGGGGAGCUUGUCCCGAAAGAGUUAAGGGUGAAGCAUUGCAAACAAAAAAAAAAAGAAAAAAAGAAUUACGAAAGAAAAAAGUGCCCUGAACCACAUGCGACCUAACCUCCCCAGCGGCUCAUCUGAGUUUAAUAACGGAGGAGGGAAAUCUCCCAAAAAGCUCUCUGAGAAAUUAAAGUAAACAGCGUGCUGACCUCCAGCCCGCGCUGCCCCGCCGCUGACUCGCCGGCCACGGCGCUCUGCCUUCCCUGGCAUCCCCUGUAAUUGUAAACACAUUCGGGUAAAUACGAGGGGGGGGCGUGGGGGGGUCCUGGGGGAGCAGCUCUCCCCACAGCCGGCAGGAAUCCGGGCUGGGCAUCGGCUCAGAGCCGUGGGAGGCACCGUGGGCUGAGGGUCUGGGCUCCGUGGCCACGGACACCCCUGGCUGUGAGGGGCUUCACGUGGUCCAGGCUUCAGGUCUGACACUGCCAGUGGGAACAGGAGCCACUGGUACCUUCAUGCUGCCCCAGGACUGCAGGGUUGGGGCUGGAAAACCUCAUGUCGGGAGCACUGAUGGGUCCUGCCGAUGGAGGGAGCAGGAGGAGGAAGAGGAUGCUAUAAAGGGUUUGUCUUCUUGGCCUCACAAAAUUUAAAAACAAUGCUCUUAUUUUCAUAGAUCCUGGGCAUUUUUGUAGGCUGAGGGAAAGAAAAGCAACCCCAGGCUGUACAAGUGCUGGCAUUCCUCUCUGGAGAGGGGCUGGAAAAGCUGCUGGCCAGGAUGGGGGAAAACAUCUCUGCCAGCCCAGCCCCAGCCCCAGCUGUGCUCCAUCCUCAUCCCUGUCCCCAUCCCCGCCAGACCACUUGCACAGGACUGGAGGUCAGAGCCUGCUCCCUGCAACAGCUCCCAGCCCUGGGAUUAGCCUUUGGGGAGGCACCAGGGACAGGAGGAAGAGGAGGUGGAGGAAGGGGCUGCAGGGCUGGGGAGCCCAGAGGAGGUGUGACCCUCCCUCCAGAGGGAUGAGCCGUCGGUGAUGGGGACUCUGGUCACCUGGAGGGGGGAGACACCCCUCACCAAACCACUCCUGUUGGGGGGGAAGCCUCCUUCCUCUUUGCUUUCCUAAAACCUCCAAAAAAACAGUUUCUCUUCAUUUGGGGUUUCUCUUGGCCAAGGGAGCGGGGCUGACGUUCCACAGACGUUCCCUCUGCGGCUCCUCUGCUGCCGAGCCACAAAAAGGGAAUAUUGCUGCCGACUCCACCCCUUUCAUCAGACCAGGACCCAAAAUCAUCAUUUCCUCUCGGCCUGUGAAUCACUAAUAAACUCCAGACAGAAAGGUCUGAUUAGGAAAUUGUUUGGGAAAUGGAGAGGAAGGGGGAGGGCUGGGCUCUCACUGCAGCCGGUGCCUCUGGGUGGCUUUGCCCCUCAGUGUCACCUCCCAGUGCCACGGGCAGGUCCCUGCCUUGGGAUCCCCAAACCUGCUCCGGCCACGGGCCCACCCCUGGCUGCAGGCAGAGCUCUGCAGUGGAUGGAUCUGUCUGUCUGCAAGGGCUGGGGGGUGAAAAUCUCUGUUUACAUUGAAGUGUAUAUUUUUUAUUUGGCUGCUGUGCCAGGGCUGUGGCGUGCAGGGAAACAUUCCCAUCCUUUGGUACCUGUAGCUCGGUGCCUCAUCAGCCUCUGGGCACAGGAUCCUCAGCUCAAGUGCCCGUGGAAGGGCUGAUGUCUUUAGAGGGGAAGGGGACUUGUGACGUGUCCUGCAGCCCAGACCCCUCCCUCCCUGCCGAUGGAACAGUGAUGGCCCUGCAGCUCCCACCACCCCCCGACUGCUGCACACUUGUCCUGACACAGAAAGGCUCCACAUUUGGACCUCAUAAAGCAGAAAAAUUUCAGGAUUUUGAAAUUUCGGUCUUGGACCCAAAUCUGAUACAUUCCACAAAUGCUUUAAUUUAUCCCUUUGUCACAACAUUCAAUAAAAGGUUUCGUUUCAGCCGCA